UAAAUCUUCCUUCCAUGUUUUGAUUGUAUACGAUGCUUCUGAUCAAUUACAUAUGUCCUGAUUAAAUUUUGCGAUUUCAAUCCAUUAGUAUUAUAUUGGGCGGUUUCACAUCUGGGUUCUUCGAGUUACAUUUUUUAGUUGAAAGAUCAUUGACUUGCAGAAAAUAUUGAUGAUUUCUGAAUUCUCGGGCAUUUCUUUGUAUUGGGUUUCUGUAUUUUUUAUCUAUCUUUAGCAGCAAUCAAUCUUUUUCUUUACUUGUUUGAUCAAAUCUCUGUUACAAAGUUUACCCACUUGUGAAUCUCUCUUAAAAAUUAACUUCUUUUAAGUGAAAAAUUCCUGUUAUGGCUAUAUAUGCUUUCUAGUAUGUGAUUCGGAAUCUUAUUGUAUUCGAAAUAUUGUUUUUUGCUUCGUAUAGAUUCACUGUGUGUUACGAUUUACACUGCACGUGUGUUUGGUAGUUAAUCUGUUAUCUGUUUGAAAAAUCACAAUUACAACAAUAAAGGAUUAGUUGGAUAACAGAUGCUUUGUAAAGAUGAACAAUUUUUGUUUACUAAACAUGCAUUUUCGAGUUUCUGAAUCAGUUAAUCUGUAGUUUUAGUUUUAGUACCAAAAUGUAUAAAAGAAGGUGAAUUGAUUCUAACAUAGUCCUAGUUGGAGCAAUUGUGUGUGUUUUUAGCUUACUUAAUUGCAUAGAUGAUGAUAAAAUUUUCGUAUUAAUUAACGUUAAAUGUAUGUCCAUGGCGGACUAUUGCAUAUGCAACAUUGAGGCAUAGACAUAGCUUGUUGCACUUCUUUGUAAUUUGAUUAAUACUGCUUAAAUGAUGUGACUGCAUCUCUGGACAAAAAAUUGGUUUUGCAUGAAGAUUCUAAAGAUGCAUCCUCCCAUUAAAAAGGAGGGUCACAAGGUGACAAGUCCCUGGUUGUUUGCUUUGGGGAAAUGCCAAUUGACUUUGUGCCCACCGUUGGUGGAGUUUCACUUGCUGAAGCACCUGUUUUUAAGAAAGCUCCUGGUGGUGCUCCUGCUAAUGUCGUUAUUGGAGUCGCAAGACUGGGUGGUUCAGCAGGUUUCAUAGGCAAGACAUGUAUUCGAACGAUGUUCUUUCAUAUCCCCUACAAGAUGUGAUAAAACCGACUCAUCUACCUUCGCCUUUUGGUCAAAGAGCUCUAUGGAUAUUGAGCCAAGGCGUAUUAGAUUGUAGUUAAAUAGUUACACUGCCAACACCCUUUUGGAUACAAUGACUGUUGCAACUGUAUAGGUUGGAAAUUACUGAGAUGUAUAAACAUUGAUACUUGUUUUGAGAUGUAUGUGAUGCUUUGGUUCUAUGUGAAAAUUACUGAAGGUGGGCUGGAUUAAUCAUUUCAUGUUUCAGUUAUAUAUGUGUUCAUUUUGAGUAAGGUGGUAAACUACAGAGAUUGACUUAUGUGCCUAAACUUUUAGACUCGAGCUUGUAUUUCAUAUUGAUCAAAUAGGCAUGAGUAGUGUACUUACACGAGGGGUAGUGUUUCGUUGUGAAGUAAUGCCAGCUGAUUUCUCUGUGCAAAAUGCAUGAAUAUCAAAUGUAUUCCUUCAAUCCAUAAUCUCUAAUGAACUCUCUAUCAUUCAUUUUGCGAACUUAUUGAAAUUUGUUAUCAACGCCUGUUUGACCCUCUUUCUUAUUUUGUUACUGUGUUAUUAGGUCCCUGAUGAGGCAGUUACAAAAUGCACGGCCUGUGGGUUAGAUUUUGGGGCUUUAUAGAUCUCAGGGAGGCAAUAUAGAUCUCCAAAGAACUAAGAAUGGUGUAAAACAGGUUCCCAAUUCUAGUUACCAGGUUUCCAAAUCAUCUCCCCAUGUAUGAAAUUGAUUUUGUUUAACUUGUCUUGAUGUCUUCAACUGGAGAAAUAGAAUUAACAAAUCCUGAGGCGAAAGUUCAUUAUAUGAUGCUUGGUCCUGAUUGUUGGAAAUUUUGGGUAACUGUUGUCAAUGUGGAGAAUAUAUCUUUGUACCGCCCUACAAGUGAAUUUCGUGUUCUGGAGGAUGCUAUAUCUAAAACAAUUACUUGGUCAUCAAAGUACGUCGGAGUUGGAGAGUAAUUUUUGUUCGUACUUAGACUAGAAAAUGGUACUUUGGCACUACAUGGAUAGUACUUUAUGACUUUUGUUGUUUAUGUAUUCAUUAAGUACUACAUGGAUAGUACUUUAUGACUUCCGUUGUUUAUGUAUUCAUUUGGAAGCUCAAGUAUUUUUAAAUUAUGUUAUAAUAUUAUCAAGUAUUUUUUAGGUAGUUAUUAUAUUGUAGUAAAUAUGCAAUUUUGUUGGUUA